rnacentral:rRNA from 1 species
UACGGGGGGGGCAAGCGUUGUUCGGAAUUACUGGGCGUAAAGGGCUUGUAGGUGGCCAACUAAGUCAUACGUGAAAUCCCUCGGCUUAACCGGGGAACUGCGUCUGAUACUGGAUGGCUUGAGGUUGGGAGAGGGAUGCGGAAUUCCAGGUGUAGCGGUGAAAUGCGUAGAUAUCGAGAGGAACACCUGCGGCGAAGGCGGGUUGCUGGGCCGACACUGACGCUGAUGCGCGAAAGCCAGGGGAGCGAACGGG